GGCUGGGGUGUGAUCUGUCGGCGGGCUGGGGUGUGAUCUGUCGGGCUCGGGUGUGAUCUGUCGGCGGGCUGGGGUGCCUGUGCAGUGAUCUGUCGGUGGGCUGAGGUGUGAUCUGUGGGCAGUUUGGGGUGCCUGUGCAGUGAUCUGUUGGUGGGCCGGGGUGUGAUCUGUUGGCGGUCUGUGGUGUGACCUGUCAGCGGUCUGGGGUGUGAUCUGUCAGCGGGCUGGGGUGCCUGUGCAGUGAUCUGUUGGUGGGCUGGGUGUGAUCUGUUGACGGGCUGGGGUGUGAUCUGUCAGUGGGCUGGGGUGUGAUCUGUGGGCGGGCUGGGGUGCCUGUGCAGUGAUCUGUCGGCGGGCCGGGGUGUGAUCUGUGGGCGGGCUGGGGUGCCUGUGCAGUGAUCUGUCCGCAGGCUGGGGUGUGAUCUGUCGGCGGGCUGGGGUGUGAUCUGUGGGCAGGCUGGGGUGCCUGUGCGGUGAUCUGUCGGGGGGCUGGGGUGUGAUCUGUGGGCGGGCUGGGGUGCCUGUGCGGUGAUCUGUGGGCGGGCUGGGGUGCCUGUGAAGUCAUCUGUCGGUGGGCCGGGGUGUGAUCUGUCGGCAGGCUGUGGAGUGAUCUGUCGGUGGGCUGGCUGCCUGUGUGGUGAUCCGUCGGCGGGCUGGGGUGCCUAUGUGGUGAUCUGUCAGCAGGCUGGGGUGUGAUCUGUCUAUGGGCCAGGGUGUGAUCUGUUGGUGGGCUGCAGUGUGAUCUGUCGGGCUGGGGUGUGAUCUGUCCGCGGGCCGGGGUGGGAUCUGUUGGUGGGCUGCGGUGGGACCUGUCAGCGGGCUGGGGUGUGAUCUGUCAGCGGGCUGGGGUGUGAUCUGUGGGUGGGCUGGGGUGCCUGUGCAGUGACAGUCUGCUGUGCACUGGGGGGUUGGAAGGUCGAGGCCACUGGUGACAGAGGGGAAGCUCCUGAGAGGUUUACUUAAAAGUAAAUGAGGGAUGUUGUUUGGCCUUUGCCCAUUUUGACCAACCAGCUUAUUGUUUUUUUCUUGCAACAACAAAAUACACACAUAGCUAUAGACACAUUUUAAUUAUAGAAAGGAUUGCAGGGAAAAUACCUUUAUUAUUGUGAGUCUAAAAUUCUUUAGCCUUUAACUCACUUUUUUCCCGUUGAAAUAAUUGUUUUUUUAAUGUGGUGUUUGAAACACCUAUGUUUUUAGAAGUUGAAAUACAGCAGAAUAGAUGCUCUUUUUAUACAUACGUGUGUGUGUAGGUAUGUAUCUAUACACACGUGUGUACACUGAUAUACAUACACAUAUAUGUAAUUUUAAAAAUAGGAUCGUAUUAAACAUAUGAUCUUACAUUUUGCAUUCUUUAUUUAAUAGCACAUUCUAAGUAUUUCCUGAGGCAUUACAUAUUCUUCGAAUAAUGCCUCAAGUAUUCUGUUAUAUGGAUGAAGCAUAUUAUUCAUCUACCUAUUCCAUUCUUUUUUUUUUUUUUUUUUUUUUUUUUUUAAAGACAGACAGAGUCUUGCCCGGUCCCCCAGGCUGGAGUGUAGUGUCGUGAUCUCAGCUCACUGCAGCCUCUGCCUCCUGGGUUUGAGUGAUCCUCCCAGCUCAGCCUCCUGAAUAGCUGGGCGUGCACCACCAUGCCCAGCUAAUUUUUGUAUAGUUGUAGACACUGGGCCUUGCCAUGUUGCCCAGGCUGGUCUUGAACUCCUGGGCUCAAGAGAUCUGCCGGCCUCAGCCUCUGAAAGUGCUGGGAUUACAUGUGUGAGCCACCGCGCCUGGCCCCUCUUUUUCACAUUUUAAGUUGCUUCCAAUUUUCUUCUACUAUAAAAAAUGUGAUAAACAUAUAGUAUAUGACUCUGUCCACAUCUCUCACAUUUUCUUACAGUCGACUUUAGACAUAAUGACCUUCAUGAAGUUUUCAUAAACAUUAUCAAUAGCGUAAUAAAUCCCCCAAUACAAUGGCUGGUGCACAGCAGGCAUUCAAGAAUUGUUACCUAUAAAUAGGAAAUCAAGUAGGUGAGAGAACAGACCAAUUCUGUCACAGCAGAGGGCUGGGAAAGAUAUCUGCUCCACCUCUUCAGGGCAGGAUGUAACUGGGCAGUCUAGGGUAAGAGGGAUGAGAAGAAAUGGGGAUGCUUUUGCUCCCCAGUGCAGGUGGACCUGCCAAUACCUAGAAUGAAAUGAUUCCUUGCUUUGAACCAAACAUGCCAAUACUACCCUCUCUGACACCCUCUCAGAUGUGCCCUCUCCUUGGUCCUUAGGAUCUCCUGUAAGCACUCAUCUUCAUCAGGGGAGGUGGGGAUUCCAAUGGCAUUGAGUACACACUUGAUUCAGAGCCUUCAUGCAGCUGAAACUGUGAUCAGAGAACAAACAACAUGAAUCACCAUGUUCUCAAAGAUGAUUUAUUGGCUAUCCUCACUCAUGGGAAAAAGAAAAACGUAAAUGAAAUCAAAACAAAACAAGAUGAAAAUUGAUACAAA
rnacentral:lncRNA from 10 species